GUGCCAAUAACUCAACUGGAAGAGUAACUGACUUUUAAUCAGUAAGUUGCAAGUUCAAGUCUUGCUUGGCACA
rnacentral:tRNA from 1 species